rnacentral:tRNA from 1 species
ACAGGAAUGAUGCAAUUGGUGACGUGGCCAAAUUAAAAUUGGUUUAUGAGAGUUCGAGUCUCUCUUUCUGUA